CGCGGCCUAUCAGCUUGUUGGUGGGGUGAUGGCCUACCAAGGCGACGACGGGUAGCCGGCCUGAGAGGGCGACCGGCCACACUGGGACUGAGACACGGCCCAGACUCCUACGGGAGGCAGCAGUGGGGAAUCUUGCGCAAUGGGCGAAAGCCUGACGCAGCGACGCCGCGUGAGGGAUGACGGCCUUCGGGUUGUAAACCUCUUUCAGCCCUGACGAAGCGAAAGUGACGGUAGGGGCAGAAGAAGCACCGGCCAACUACGUGCCAGCAGCCGCGGUAAUACGUAGGGUGCAAGCGUUGUCCGGAAUUAUUGGGCGUAAAGAGCUCGUAGGUGGCCUGUCGCGUCGGCUGUGAAAACUCGGGGCUCAACUCCGAGCUUGCAGUCGAUACGGGCAGGCUAGAGUGCGGCAGGGGAGACUGGAAUUCCUGGUGUAGCGGUGAAAUGCGCAGAUAUCAGGAGGAACACCGGUGGCGAAGGCGGGUCUCUGGGCCGAUACUGACACUGAGGAGCGAAAGCGUGGGGAGCGAACAGGAUUAGAUACCCUGGUAGUCCACGCCGUAAACGUUGGGCGCUAGGUGUGGGAUCCCUUCCACGGGUUCCGUGCCGCAGCUAACGCAUUAAGCGCCCCGC
rnacentral:rRNA from 1 species